GACGAACGCUGGCGGCGUGCUUAACACAUGCAAGUCGAACGGAAAGGCCUGCUUUCCCUUGUGGAUUGCGGGUACUCGAGUGGCGAACGGGUGAGUAACACGUGAGUGAUCUGCCCCCAACUUGGGUAUAAGCCUGGGAAACUGGGUCUAAUUCCCGAUAGGACUGCAGGGUGGUGCCUGUGGUGGAAAACGAUUUUCUAGUGGUUGGGGAUGAGCUCGCGGCCUAUCAGCUUGUUGGUGGGGUAAUGGCCUACCAAGGCGGCGACGGGUAGCCGGCCCGAGAGGGUGGACGGCCACAUUGGGACUGAGAUACAGCCCAGACUCCUACGGGAGGCAGCAGUGGGGAAUAUUGCACAAUGGGCGGAAGCCUGAUGCAGCGACGCCGCGUGGGGGAUGACGGCCUUCGGGUUGUAAACUCCUUUCGACCGCGAGGAAGCCACCUGGUUGGAAGGGUGGUGACGGUAGUGGUAGAAGAAGCACCGGCUAACUACGUG
rnacentral:rRNA from 1 species